rnacentral:rRNA from 1 species
GAUGAACGCUGGCGGCGUGCUUAACACAUGCAAGUCGAACGGUGAAGCCCAGCUUGCUGGGUGGAUCAGUGGCGAACGGGUGAGUAACACGUGAGCAACCUGCCCCUGACUCUGGGAUAAGCGCUGGAAACGGCGUCUAAUACUGGAUAUGUACCACGAUCGCAUGGUCUGUGGUUGGAAAGAUUUUUCGGUUGGGGAUGGGCUCGCGGCCUAUCAGCUUGUUGGUGAGGUAAUGGCUCACCAAGGCGU